GCCUGUGCUCUGUUCUGUAACAGGAGGCAUCUGCUAGCAUACAGCCCCUUUCUUGCCCUUUCUAACGUGCUCUGGAGCUGUUUUCGUGAGAAAGGGGCACUUCCUAAACCCUUGCUUGUUUCUGACUUUCUUCCCUGCUUUCUGAUUUAUGCAUUCUCCAGGCUGCAGCUCGGCCUUCUCGGUUUCUCAGGCAGAGAAGUUUCCAUGGUAACCUCGUCAGUGGAGGUGAAACCGUAGCGGAAAUCAGCGUUCAGCCAAGGAGCUGCCGAUGUGCAGGAAAACUGCUCAGGACCAGGCUAUGAAACAUUCGGGCGUGUGCCUAUUGCUGUACAAACACAACAAAGUGGGGACUUGUCCCUGGGAGCUGCAGUCCAAGACAAGUGCAGGCAGCAUUUUGCAAACAAGGUUGUGUGGCAUACUUGACAUUAUGAGGAAUCUCUCCCACAAGCUGCUUUGUGCCCUUCACACAGCUUGAAACUUUCAAGCCAAAGAUCCACAAAGAUCCAUGUGAGGUUUUACAGUCAGUGUUUGGCCUCUGAGCAACUUAUGCAGCUGGUUGCUAAUCUGCUUACUGAUGGAGUGGAUUGCGGAGGAGAAAAGGCCUUGGCUCAGUGGAGACUCUGCUCAGCAGUAAUGAAAACAUUCCUGUGUUAUCAACACUGUUUUCUGCACAAAUUCUUACAUAGCCCAUAUUAGCCCCUGUGAAGAAAAUUAACUCUAUCCCAGCAGUGCACUGAAUUAUAAAAUGUUCAUUUAGCUCGGGACUACCAUGGCUGAGAUUAAGAGCAUGUAUUUAAGCAUUCCUGAUGGUGGUCCUUCCUAUGGUGAACCUCCUUGUGCUGAGCAGUCACUCUGCCCGUACCAGACAUUUCUCUCCUUCCCUGCUGUGGAGGGAGGGUGAGGUGACCCACCCCCUGCCCUGCUCUGCACCUCCACCCACAUGAAAACCUGGAGUGUUCCUCUCAAAUCAGGGAGACCUCAGUCAUUCCCAUCAGGUCAGAACUGGGACUGUGUUGUAAGAACUUUUCAAGGACCAAGCAGUGAUAGGUGAGGGACGCAAGCUGCUUCAAAGAAACCAAGUUCAUGGCUUGCCAUAGCUCUCUGCUUUUGUGGUAUUUGUACCCUUGCAGGUGAGGCAGGAGAACUUCACUCUCGUUACUUUGUGGUGAAUGUGAGCUGCCAGGCAGUAGUAAUGUCACUCUGCAUUCACAGAAAAAAAGACUAAGAAUAAAACUUUUUUAGUGUAGACAUGGAAAAGUGAGACCAUAUUUUAAUGUCAGAGAAGAAUUAAACGUUUUUAUGUGAAAUUGCUACCUGCAGAGGUACUGAUGAUGAGGGCACUAAGUGACCAAAGAAUAAUGUCAAAGUGUGGUGGGAUGGGGCAAUGCCUUGGUCAGCAGUUGAGUACCUUAAAAAGAACUAAAAAACUGAUUAAUAGCAAACAACAUUUCUUCCAAAAGCAAUGUAACCAAUCUCACUGCAGGACAAUCUACUGUGAGACAGUAACUAGGAGCUGUAUUCUACAGGCAGACUGUGGAAUAUAGGGUUAUAAUUGUUAAAGUGCUGAAGGCUUAUGCUCACCAGGAGGUCCUGUGGGGAGAGGCACAGUGGCAGCCUGGAAGUGUGGACAGCAGCAGCAGCUGAACAGCUCUUCUUCUGCUAAGUUUUGGUUGUGUCCAGUGGAGAUUGAAGAUUCUAAACAAAAAUACAGCUGUCAAAGGCUGCCUGAGCAUUCUUACACCAUUCAAGGAGUCUCGCUGAAGUACCUGCUAGUAUAAACAAAGAACCUGGGACGUCUCAAAUCAGGAGCAUUCUCACUUUCUUCAAUGACUUUUGAAUAGUACGCCAGUGGUAUUUUCUGCAUAUGUGUAGCUUCCUUCUUCGAAAAAUCAAGAGGAAAUGACAUAUUUGACUGCAAAACUCCUGAAUGAUCUUGAAAACCACUAGCAGAAGGCAGAAAGGCUGAAUAAUGUUGUGGAUUGAUUAAUUUUCCCUAAUGAAGGCUUUCAUUUUUGAAGUGCCUACAUGUAGUGAAGCUUGACUUCUUUGUCUUCAGAUGCUGCCAACUAUAUAGUGAAAAGUUCACAUUACUUUUGUUGGGGGCUGUUAAUGAGUGAAAGAGACAAAAAAAUCCAGUUCUAGUUGGAAGCAGGGGGGUUCCUUUGGGAGGCCAUACUAGGGUGUAGGUCUGUGUCCUGCCAAAACUGCUUCUCUAUUAAACUACUAUUCAAAUUACAUGCUCCAGAAUAAAAUGAACAGAUCUCCAAAGGUGAUGGACAGAGGAGAGUUGGUAGGUACUGGUUUACAGUAGCCCACCCUAAAGCCAGCAGGUCAGGGGAUGUAUCUCUUGGUAUUGGGAGAUUGAGGAUGGAGACAGCAGGGGAAGCAAACACUUUUUUAAGGUCUCACAGAAAAUGAGUGGCAGGGCUGUGAUCUUUGAAAGCCAGGAUAAGGGAGCAAUGGACUUUGGAGAAGGGAUAAUUGUUAUACCAACACUGUCAAAGACUUUCUGCACAGCACGUUCUGGUGAUUCAGAGUUUGUAAUGAUUCUGAUUAUCUGUCCCAAAAUGUUUGUGUGAAACUUGGACAGAAACUGUGUUUUAGGACAAACGGGUAUCUUGGCCUACUUCAGACUGCUUUGCACCGUCAGAAUAUCAUGACAAUAGAUAAUGUACUCUCAAAAAUUCAGCACACAGUUUUGUCUCCUGCUGUGUGGUCCUAGCAUUUAUUCACAGGAGUGCAUGCUGUGAUCCUGUGUCACAGUCCAGGAUAUGAAACAUUUUAAUGAUUUUAGUGGCACAUGUAAAAAUGAGUAGCAAAAGCCUCCUGUUGUUUGCACAAGAAUAAGCAGGAAGCUUGGUUUUUGGCUUACUCAGGUGAAUGAACACUGUUGUUGAAGCGGGAGAAUAAUAGAUGCAGGUGGUAGAAUAGUUUAACAGCACUAAAUUAUUCUGGAAUGUUGAUUAUGUGCCAGCAGCUUGUUAGCUGAAGGUAUUUGGAAAAAUUACCAUUCCCUCAAAAAAUCUGCCAACAGAUUUACCUGAGAAAAGCUCUUUGAAAAUAUGGGAUUUAUAAAAAAAUUUUUGAACCCAUUGUAUGUGUUUCCUAGCAGACUGAUUCUUUCCAUAAAAUAAAAUAACAAAGAAGGAGGAACUGACUCUUCUUAUGGGAGUUAUUUAUUUAUGUACUUUAUUGCUGCAACCUGGUGUUUCGCUGAAUGUUGCUAAGGCAAAAUUCCUGCGCUGAAAAUUAGUGUUAUGAUAAAAAAAGAGAAAUUAUAGAAUUAUACUACA